rnacentral:rRNA from 1 species
UACAGAGGGGGCAAGCGUUGUCCGGAAUCAUUGGGCGUAAAGCGCGUGUAGGCGGUUCAGUAAGUCUGCUGUGAAAGUCCAGGGCUCAACCCUGGGAUGCCGGUGGAUACUGCUGGGCUAGAGUACGGAAGAGGCGAGUGGAAUUCCCGGUGUAGCGGUGAAAUGCGCAGAUAUCGGGAGGAACACCAAUUGCGAAGGCAGCUCGCUGGGACGUCACUGACGCUGAGACGCGAAAGCGUGGGGAGCAAACAGG